AUUGAACGCUGGCGGCAGGCUUAACACAUGCAAGUCGAGCGGAGAUGAGGUGCUUGCACCUUAUCUUAGCGGCGGACGGGUGAGUAAUGCUUAGGAAUCUGCCUAUUAGUGGGGGACAACAUUUCGAAAGGAAUGCUAAUACCGCAUACGUCCUACGGGAGAAAGCAGGGGAUCUUCGGACCUUGCGCUAAUAGAUGAGCCUAAGUCGGAUUAGCUAGUUGGUGGGGUAAAGGCCUACCAAGGCGACGAUCUGUAGCGGGUCUGAGAGGAUGAUCCGCCACACUGGGACUGAGACACAGCCCAGACUCCUACGGGAGGCAGCAGUGGGGAAUAUUGGACAAUGGGCGGAAGCCUGAUCCAGCCAUGCCGCGUGUGUGAAGAAGGCCUUAUGGUUGUAAAGCACUUUAAGCGAGGAGGAGGCUACUUUAGUUAAUACCUAGAGAUAGUGGACGUUACUCGCAGAAUAAGCACCGGCAAACUCUGUGCCAGCCGCCGCAGUAA
rnacentral:rRNA from 1 species